UGCAAUUCAACCAUUGCUUCAUUACAUAUGUUACAUUAAAUGUACAAACUUAUAAUAAUCAAUGCUGUGAUACAUUGUUUAUUAUAAAAUAUAUUUAUGACAAAUACAGUAACAAAAGUGUUUGAAGAUUAUUUUCAAAAGUUGUAGGAAAUGCUGAAGUGCUCAAUAACAAUAGAUUACAAUAUAUCUAAUUUCUAACAGAAUAUUUGUUACCAUAUUGUUAUUACAUUCAUUUUCAAUGUUCAAGCGUGUAUAAAUCAAAAGAAUAACAAAUAGAAAUGGGCACAGAAGUGAAAAAAUUGAAACUUGAGAAAGAGGUUAUCAACAUCCGUGUAAUUUGUAGGAAAAGGCUUCUGGAAAAAAAGGCAAUGCACUACUUCGUUUUCUGCGUUCCAGUUUCUGAAUUUCCAGAAGAUCUUGAUUUCGCAUAUUAAAAACAUCUGAUUCCACACGAGCCACGGUAAAAUCGUGUUCAUUUUCACAGUCUUCAUGAACGGAUGCGAGGGAGUGAUUCGGCGAAGCGGCCGAAUGAUAUCCCG